CUGACUGCUAUUACUGCUAUAAGCAGUUAAUAGCGGUCACAUUCAUUUGCUGUUGGCUUAAUGCAUGUUCACCUGAGUUCAAAGAAACCUCUGGAAAAGAAACCUGUUUUUCUCCACAGAUACAAGCAGUCAUGAACCUGGAUUUCCAAGUGUCCAGGUUAUGGAUUACUGUUAUUGAGAGGAGACAAACAGGAAAAGGAACAGUCUUGAACCAGAUAAAUUUGCCUCCAUCUGGACUAAUUGCGGAGGAUUGAAGCAAUUCCUCCUGAUGGAACUUGUUCGCAGUUGCCGCUAAUGAAGAAAACCUGGCCAAACAAGAAGUGAAACAUUUCAGUUGCUUAACUGGGGGAAUUAGCUUAAACCUGCGAA